CAGCCGCCACGGUAAUACGUAGGUGGCAAGCGUUGUCCGGAUUUAUUGGGCGUAAAGCGAGCGCAGGCGGUCAAUUAAGUCUGAUGUGAAAGCCCCCGGCUCAACCGGGGAGGGUCAUUGGAAACUGGUUGACUUGAGUGCAGAAGAGGAGAGUGGAAUUCCAUGUGUAGCGGUGAAAUGCGUAGAGAUGUGGAGGAACACCAGCGGCGAAGGCGACUCUCUGGUCUGUAACUGACGCUGAGGAGCGAAGGCGUGGGGAGCGAACAGGAUUAGAUACCCGCGUAGUCCCUGUCUCUUAUAA
rnacentral:rRNA from 1 species